GCUCAGUAACACGUGGAUAACCUGCCCUUGGGACCGGGAUAACCCCGGGAAACUGGGGAUAAUACCGGAUAACGCAUAUCUGCUGGAAUGCUUUAUGCGUAAAAUGGAUUUGUCUGCCCAAGGAUGGGUCUGCGGCCUAUCAGGUAGUAGUGGGUGUAAUGUACCUACUAGCCUACGACGGGUACGGGUUGUGAGAGCAAGAGCCCGGAGAUGGAUUCUGAGACAUGAAUCCAGGCCCUACGGGGCGCAGCAGGCGCGAAAACUUUACAAUGCGGGAAACCGUGAUAAGGGGACACCGAGUGCCAGCAUCAUAUGUUGGCUGUCCAGAUGUGUAAAAUACAUCUGUUAGCAAGGGCCGGGCAAGACCGGUGCCAGCCGCCGCGGUAACACCGGCGGCCCGAGUGGUGAUCGUGAUUAUUGGGUCUAAAGGGUCCGUAGCCGGUUUGGUCAGUCCUCCGGGAAAUCUGACGGCUCAACCGUUAGGCUUUCGGUGGAUACUGCCAGACUUGGAACCGGGAGAGGUAAGAGGUACUACAGGGGUAGGAGUGAAAUCUUGUAAUCCCKRKGAGACCACCUGUGGCGAAGGCGUCUUACCAGAACGGGUUCGACGGUGAGGGACGAAAGCUGGGGGC
rnacentral:rRNA from 1 species